rnacentral:rRNA from 1 species
GAUGAACGCUAGCGGCAGGCCUAAUACAUGCAAGUCGAACGGUGUAGCAAUACACAGUGGCGCACGGGUGCGUAACACGUAUGCAACCUACCUUACAUUGGGGGAUAGCCUUUCGAAAGGGAGAUUAAUACCGCAUAAGACAGUAACUAGGCAUCUAGUAGCUGUUAAAGAUUUAUCGAUGUAAGCUGGGCAUGCGGCCAAUUAGUUAGUUGGCGAGGUAAUGGCUCACCAAGACGAUGAUUGGUAGGGGAACUGAGAGGUCAAUCCCCCACACUGGCACUGAGAUACGGGCCAGACUCCUACGGGAGGCAGCAGUAGGGAAUAUUGGGCAAUGGGCGCAAGCCUGACCCAGCCAUGCCGCGUGCAGGAAGAAGGCGCUAUGCGUUGUAAACUGCUUUUAUACAGGAAGAAACGACCCUUGCGAGGGGCAUUGACGGUACUGUAUGAAUAAGCACCGGCUAACUCCGUGCCAGCCGCCGCCGUAAAAC